rnacentral:sRNA from 1 species
UCCUAGCCCCGAUAGUAGUGGAAAUCCUUUUGUGACGGGGUUCGGCACAAAAGAUUGAAACGAAUAGCGGGAUUAAGC